rnacentral:rRNA from 1 species
CAAGGAAUCUUCCGCAAUGGGCGCAAGCCUGACGGAGCAACGCCGCGUGGAGGACGACGGCUUUCGGGUUGUAAACUCCUUUUCCCAGGGACGAAACGGACGGUACCUGGGGAAUCAGCCCCGGCUAACUCUGUGCCAGCAGCCGCGGUAAGACAGAGGGGGCAAGCGUUGUCCGGAUUUACUGGGCGUACAGCGCGCGCAGGCGGUCGUGUAGGUACCUGGUGACAGUCUCGGGCUCAACUCGAGGGGGUCUGGGUAGACCGCACGACUGGAGGCAGGGAGAGGGAUGUGGAAUACCCGGUGGAGCGGUGAAAUGCGUAGAGAUCGGGUGGAACACCAGUGGCGAAGGCGGCAUCCUGGCCCUGACCUGACGCUGAGGCGCGAGAGCGUGGGGAGCAAACGGG